GACGAACGCUGGCGGCGUGCCUAAUACAUGCAAGUCGAGCGAGCUUGCCUAGAUGAAUUUGGUGCUUGCACCAGAUGAAACUAGAUACAAGCGAGCGGCGGACGGGUGAGUAACACGUGGGUAACCUGCCCAAGAGACUGGGAUAACACCUGGAAACAGAUGCUAAUACCGGAUAACAACACUAGACGCAUGUCUAGAGUUUAAAAGAUGGUUCUGCUAUCACUCUUGGAUGGACCUGCGGUGCAUUAGCUAGUUGGUAAGGCAACGGCUUACCAAGGCAAUGAUGCAUAGCCGAGUUGAGAGACUGAUCGGCCACAUUGGGACUGAGACACGGCCCAAACUCCUACGGGAGGCAGCAGUAGGGAAUCUUCCACAAUGGACGCAAGUCUGAUGGAGCAACGCAGCGUGAGUGAAGAAGGGUUUCGGCUCGUAAAGCUCUGUUGGUAGUGAAGAAAGAUAGAGGUAGUAACUGGCCUUUAUUUGACGGUAAUUACUUAGAAAGUCACGGCUAACUACGUG
rnacentral:rRNA from 1 species